rnacentral:rRNA from 1 species
ACCCGUUCCCAUUCCGAACACGGAAGUUAAGCUCAUUUGCGUUGAAGAUACUUGGCUGGCGACGGCCUGGGAAAAUAGAACAAUGCCGGCA